GAAGAAAUAACGGCAGUCUUUCUCUAAUAAAGUAAAUGGGAUCAUGAUUUAAUAAGAGUUAGUUAGCUAUUUGACUGAUAUUAUGGUAAAUUUUUUAAAUGCAUAAUAAUCGUUGCUGGAAAUAGAUUUCUUAAGUUCGUUCAUUCCUCUCCUGUAGACACAAGCAUAAAGCACGUGCGUGAAUUAUAAAGUCAAUCUAGGCGUGGCUACCUUCUAGAUCUUUGAAUUAUUUGGUUAUACUACAUCUCGAAUUGCCAUGCUUCACACCGUAGCAAAUGUUAAUCCUACUCAUACCUGUAGAGGUUGCCAGUCACUUAAAAAAAAUGAGCAACUACCGACGGCCGGUUUACAAAGUGCUUAAAAUGUUGUUCAGAUGCUUUGAGUAAACAUCCGCUGUACCCUAAACUAACUUGCUCAGAUUUUACUUCUCACAUAACAGGAUGCAACAAACUGACGACCAAAGUAUUGGGAGUUCAUCCCCAAGGCCUUGGAAGGAUCUCAGUCAGUAAGUGAGGGAGUCGUCUCUAAAAGUUUCCUACGAUGGCAUACUUUUAUUUCUAAAAACUUUACUACUAAUUAGUAAUACAGUUAAUCAAGAAUCUUAAUCGGUUAAUUCCUAAUAGUAUUUUCUUGUUAAAUGAAUACAGCAAGCUACUUGACAAUUUCAUUUUCAUAUUUACCAAUGAAUGAAUGAUAUUCCUAAAUAAUACGAGUUUAAAACACAAGGUGAAUAGUGAAGCAUAACAUAGCGUUAUAUUUUUUAACAAACGGUAUAUUUUCUCGUAUAGCCCAGCUUGUGAAUAACGAGUGAAAUGCAACCGUUUUUAUUCCAAGUCUGACAUAGUGAUACUCGACCUGAAAAUUACUUCAGUGUAAUGAAUACAUAUAUAUUAUAAACUUUUUUUCAACCUAAGCAGUAGGCUGUUUACAAAACUAAUACAUAUGCUGCCUCUUUUAACGGUGCAGUUUUUAUAGGACAAUGCACCAAAUACCGUGUGAAAGUAGCCGAUGGUCAUGAGCUACACUAAAAUAAUGUGCAUUUGCAUCCGCCCGGCACCUUGCGGCAAUUUUACGAGCUAUUGCGAUAAAAAAAAGGCAUCGUACUAUUCAAGAUUCAAAUGCUUUUUCUUCUUUUACUUGUGUUCCGUAAUAAUUCUCAGUCUAGCGUUUGUUUUUUCUAAGCAUGUUUAGCUUCAUGUGUACUAGAGUUCAAUAGGCAAUGUCAAAUUCCAAUAUAACAACUGUACCAAGUUCAGUUAGUACCGUUGGUACGAUCGACUAGUCUCGCCUCGGUAUCGACUUUUUCUGGUGUGAACAUUGCCGGAUUUAGUGGCAAGCCGUGUCAGGGGGUUCCGCAGAUGCGUUCUCUUAAGUAGAGCCGAAACGAAAACGGUAACACCGUAGUAGUCAAUGUUGCGUCAUAAUUCCAGCGAGACUAUAUAUAUACGAGUCUAUAUAAAUUGACAUGCU